CAGCCGCCGCGGGAAUACGUAGGGUGCGAGCGUUGAUCGGAAUUACUGGGCGUAAAGCGUGCGCAGGCGGUUGUGUAAGACAGGUGUGAAAUCCCCGGGCUUAACCUGGGAACUGCGCUUGUGACUGCACAGCUAGAGUAUGGCAGAGGGGAGUGGAAUUCCACGUGUAGCAGUGAAAUGCGUAGAGAUGUGGAGGAACACCGAUGGCGAAGGCAGCCCCCUGGGCCAAUACUGACGCUCAUGCACGAAAGCGUGGGGAGCAAACAGGAUUAGAUACCCCGGUAGUCCCUGUCUCUUUACA
rnacentral:rRNA from 1 species